GCGUAUAACAAACCCGCAGGAUAGCCUGAGCGACCGUUCCGACGACCAGGCGAAAUAAAGGAAACCGGAUGACUGCACGUCCGUUUAAGAGCCGGCAGUUGUCCUAAAUUCAAAUCUUAAUCUAAGCAUGUAGAAAGCUUAUGGGUACUUUCUCUGGACCCGGGUUCGACUCCCGGCAGCUCCACUA
rnacentral:tmRNA from 1 species